rnacentral:rRNA from 1 species
GAUGAACGCUGGCGGCGUGCCUAAUACAUGCAAGUCGAGCGAACGGAUGAGAAGCUUGCUUCUCUGAUGUUAGCGGCGGACGGGUGAGUAACACGUGGAUAACCUACCUAUAAGACUGGGAUAACUUCGGGAAACCGGAGCUAAUACCGGAUAAUAUUUUGAACCGCAUGGUUCAAAAGUGAAAGACGGUCUUGCUGUCACUUAUAGAUGGAUCCGCGCUGCAUUAGCUAGUUGGUAAGGUAACGGCUUACCAAGGCAACGAUGCAUAGCCGACCUGAGAGGGUGAUCGGCCACACUGGAACUGAGACACGGUCCAGACUCCUACGGGAGACAGCAGUAGGGAAUCUUCCGCAAUGGGCGAAAGCCUGACGGAGCAACGCCGCGUGAGUGAUGAAGGUCUUCGGAUCGUAAAACUCUGUUAUUAGGGAAGAACAUAUGUGUAAGUAACUGUGCACAUCUUGACGGUACCUAAUCAGAAAGCCACGGCUAACUACGUG